GACCUCCUGGUGCUGGCCGCAGGCUGUGUUCCUCCACCGACUGUGUAGACAGAGGAGGCAGAGGAAGCCUACCCCAAGUGCACCUGCCCAGGCGCUGUGCCUCAUCUGUACUGUGAAUGGGGAGAUAUGG
ensembl:snoRNA